ACAUGCCUACAACAUAGUGUUAAUGCACCGGAUCCCAUUAGAACUCUGCAGUUAAGUGUGAUCAGGAUAGAGUAAUACUGAGAUGGGUGACCUACUGAGAAGUCCUUGUGUUUUACAUGCC
rnacentral:rRNA from 1 species